rnacentral:misc_RNA from 1 species
UUCCUUUCAACUUAUUGGGAAUUCAAACAACUGAAACCAAAAUUAUAUUCACAACCAAAUCCCCUUAUUUGAAAUUCGUUCACCGAAACAGAGUGUUAGUUAUAUGUUCAAAAAGAAAGCAACAAAAAAUGAAUAAAUGUGUCUCAGUUCACACAUGCCAUCCAUUUUGAGGUCCUAUAAGUGUCGUUGAUAUUUGGUCCACAGCCACUUUCAUCUAAUCCCUAAUUUACUACAUUAUAAAAAUCCAUUUCAUUAAUUGAAAAUUAAUGUGCAGCGGAGGUCAGAUAAUGUUUGGAGUCUCCAUAUCCCUAUAAGGGAAACAAAAAAAAUAAAAUGCUAUUCUUCAGGGCAGAAUGGGUGAAGGCAAGUUUCUAACAUGAUAAAAAAGAUCUAAUAAAGAACAUCCCCAAUUCAUGAGGCCCCCCUGCUUUGUAUGGGUCAGGAAAAUAUUGAAUAUGGAGUCUAUUAGCCACAAAUCUCUACAUCUACUACAAGCCAAUUACCGCGAAUGGCUAAGCAAUAAUAAACCAAGAACAUUUCUAAGUCUCUAAGGUAGAUUCAGUUUCAUGAGUAAAGCUGCAACUGAUAGCACAGCAAGCAAAAGAUUGCUACAUUUUAAAACCCAAAUAAUUAGUUAGUAACGGUCAAUUAGCAAACCCAGUAAUUUAUCAUAGAGGUCAAAAAUCACAAAAUUGAACAAAAAGUAGGGGAAAAAAGCGCUAAACUCAAAUCACUUUUUUUUUAUAUGCUUAUCAUGCAAAUGAAUGAAAUAAUACAGCAUUGCUGAAUCAAUUGUGUUGUAAACACUGCCACGACAUUGGAGUGAAAUAUCAAAGAAUUCCAACAGAACAUCUAGCGCAAGAGGCUGAUGUGUAGACUUCUACAACUUCAUUUAUUUUUUUAUUUUUUUAUUUGUUGUGACGAUAAAUACAUCUCAUAAAAAGGAUCUGGUCCGGGUUGUCAGGUACAAUGAGGAGGCAUAACCCAGAUGAGGAUCCAUGCUUAUUAUAAUUUGUCCCUGUGAAUUUAACAAUCAAAAGCACAAGAACCAUCAUUACAAAGCGAAGGAUGAAAGCUAAAACCUAGAGGAAUACGUGUUAAAUUCAAGCACUUCUGGCCACUAAUCUAGUGGCUUGCGGUGACGGCUAGGCUGGAAUUAAAUUUCAUUAGUAACCACCGGAGUACUAGUGUUCCCUUUCAAGCUCAAUUUCAUCUACCAUCUCUCUAUUUUUGUUUUAUUACAGUUCAUAACUUCAAUUUAUAUUACAAAAACACUUAUUACAGUUGAUU